CCUGGGGAAAGUGCGGCCGCCGGGGACAGCCACCCAGAGAAGAGACCAAACAGUGAGAAAGAAGACAAAAAGUGAAAUAGUGGAUCCUCAAUCCGCAGAAGCUGACGUCAGGCUCAGAGCAAAUUAUAAGAGUCACCCACUGAAAGCCAGUCCCCUAAAUCUUCCAAAGAAGCAGAUGGAGCCCAGUUGAGUGAAGAUACCAUCAAAUGGCCAAGAACUUUAAUGAAGACCAGCUGCUUUUGCGUGUUUCACCCUGGCUUUGAUUUAGAGGAGCCCUGGAGGAUGGAGUCACCACGGAAAAAGGAACAGCAGAUCUCAGUUUCAACGACCCCGAGACCCAGUCAAGAGGAUAGUGAGGCCUAGGACCAUACCACUUUAUUUUGGACUCAGACAAGUUGGAGAGCCCUCACCGAACCCUCUUCUUGACAUUUAAAAUCUUGUAUUACAAUGUACAAGUUAAAAAAAAACAUGCCUGAGCAUUAUCUGUGUUAAUUUGGAAGAAGCAUCUUCCGGUUCUGAACUGUUUACUUGUUUAUUCUGCCUUGUCUAUUUCCCCCCCUUUCUUCACCCAAGAAAUCCUGAAUAGGAAAUUAGAGUGAAAAUGUGAUUUUGUCCUGGAAACAGCUUUACAAAGGCAACAGUUUUAUCCCCCCUCCAAAUUUUCAAAGUUAUGGUCCUUGAAUGUCUUUUGUCAGGGUCCCAAGACAUCUGACUGCAAGAUUCUUAUUAUCUCCUGGCAUAGGGACAUUUGAAUGAAUAAAGAAGAUCUCAGAAAGUGUUUUCAGGGUUGUAGGUGUCACUGACCUCAUGGCAUAAAGUCAUCCCUGCCUGGCUUCCAGUCUACAAUCUGCCGUUAUCACCACUAGCAGCUUACAGCAUAGCUACAGAGGCUCAGACUAUACAGACAAAACCAAAAACGGACACAUGGGGAAAUAUCUCUUGGUAACUUAAUUUCCUGGACUUGUACUGGUCUGACACAGAGAUCUCUCCUGACUCUCUUGAUCUCCCUCCCAUUAAUAUUUUCAGUUCUGCAGUCACAUUAUGAGACAGCUUAGGACUAUGGUCUGGCUCUGCUUUUAGAAGGCAGUUCUGCACCAUCUCCACAUGGAAGAGAGGCUGGUGCCCUUGUCCAUAUUCUUGGCAACAGCUCUUGCCUUCUUGAUCCACAGAGCAAUUACUUUGCCUGUCUAAGUGUGGCAACACUCAGUCAUUGAUAUAAUCCAUCACGACCAGCCCUGGUAAUGAUUUGGGCAGUGCUGUGCCUAGUGAUGAUUAGCUGAAAACACAUACAUUUUUAGACUGCUUUGCUUCCAGGAAAUGUCUGAGUCAUAUUUGGUCUGAGUGUUCAAACUGAGUGUGGUUAUCAGCUGGAGUUUUAAAUCUACUCAAACAUGCAUGGUAUUUCAGGUUUCUGUACAAUAUGUGAUAUGUUCUGCAUGGUGUAUUAGAAUGCGGCAUAAAUUGCUCUUUGUGAAAUGUGAUUUCUGUCCAGUCAUGAAGUUAGGAUGGUGGCAGAGUAAUUUAUACAUAUAAAAAUUGACUUCCAGUCUAUAGAAUGUAAAGUACUGAGUCAGUAUGGUGAUGUUAGAAAUGCCAAUUCCUAAGACAAGGCUGAAAGGCUCUAUCUGUAAGCAGUAAUGCUGCUCAGUCCCUAGCCAAGAUCCUGCUCACUUAAAAGGGUCCUUUCUGAAGAAGUCAAGAAUAAGGAGUGAUAGGAUUUAUGGAAAUUGUGCUUGUGCUGACUUGCAUUAUGUAAAUGUGCCUGUUUUACAAUAAAACACAUUUGUUUUCCUGGGCAAUGAGAUUUCUGUCACCUUCCUGCAAACUGUGUCCUCAGUUGCUUUGUGGGGUAGCUGCCGGUGAGCUCAGCAGUGUCUGACCUGCCAAGGGCAUGGCUAGGGGAUGUUGGCUGCUUCUUCUGAAAAUUCUCUGGGGCACUCAGUUGUCCAAUUAAGGAUUGUGCCAUCAGCUUGAGUCAUAGAUUAUUACAGCCGAAAGGAACUGUAGAUAACAUUUAGUCCAACCCACUCAUUUUAAAGACGAAGAAGCCAAAAACUGCAUAAAUGAAAUGAGAUGCCCAUUGUCUGCCCACUAGUUAAAUCAUGGCACUGGGUAGUAGAAUUUUCAAUCCAGUACCCUUCCCAACCCAGCUUAAAGAAUUAUCUGCAAUAUUCCUUUGUCCACUUCUGUUUUGUCUUCUGCUGUUGUGGUAGUUAACCAUGAAUUGACCCAUGUGAGCCACAGGAAAUCAAUAGUCCUUUGGCGUUGCAUAUGAAAGUCUACUAAAAAGGAUGUAUGACUCUGGGUUGGUCAUUAACUCCUUCUGUGCAUUAAUUUUGUGUUUUGUAAACCGAAUACUGAGAGCUAUUUUGCGUGGAUUAUUGUAGUUGGCAAAAUGAGAUGAUAAACAUAUGCAAGAUAGCACCAUUGUUGUGCCUGAUUAUGUAGGCAAAGCAAAGCGUCAUAGUCUAGGCAGGAAUUAUUAGCCCUAGGCCCAUAAACUUAUUUUCUUUUUAUUGUUAACCAUUAUUUCAGUAUAAGUAAUUGUAUUUUGUAAUCUAACAUUUUUAUGCAUUCAAAAACAUUCAGGAAAAGAGUCCAUAGACUUCACUAGAUUUACUAAAGGUAUCCAUGUCCCUCACUUCCAAAUGAUGAAGAACCACUGGGGAUCUAGGGCAAUGUACCAACAUUUGUCUGAAUCUUCCCUAAGAAAUCUGAUCCGCUUGAGGAACUGGAUGCCAUUCUUCCAUCUUAUGCCUCAUUGGGCAUGAAGUCAUUCCUUGAACUGUCAAUUCAAUCCAAUAAGCAACUAACUGCUAAACGCUUAAAUGUGCCAGGCAGCUUUCUAGGCACUGGGAAAAAAGAGACAAAGUGAAUAAUAGUCCCUGACCCCGAGGAGUUGUAAGUAACAUUAGGGAGACUGGUGCCCUUAUUAGGAUAGCUGGAAUGAGCCCUGUCUUCACUUCUCCCUCUUUGAAUUCCUUCAAGGCUCAUCCCAGAUGUCAUCCCAUAUACAAGGGCUGUCUAGACUCCCUGCUAUCUAAAGAUUUUGUUUGUUUACUCGUCUGUACAUAUAUUGCUUCCCUUCAAUAGAAUGGACAUUUCUUGAGGGCAGGGACUUUCUCACAUUUUUGUCUUUCUAUCCCUAGCAUAGCAUACAGUAAGUGUUUAAUCUAGGCUUGUCGAUAUACUGAAUCCAACAAUGUAACAGCACUAGAUAUAGUAGUAAUAAUUAGAUAUAAUAAUAAUAAUAAUACGUGUAAAACACUUCAUUUACACCUAAGAAAUCCAGAAUAGCCGUACAUUUAAUUUAACAAUGAAUUCCGUCGGGCUCAGUGAGUAACUACUUCUGCAGCAUCAUAGUUUAGCCUGUGGAUGACCUGGAUUGCCCUAAUAUUUUUGUUGUUGUUGUUGUUGUUGACCUUUCUACAUCUCAGUCAGUCAACAGGCAUUUAUUUAGCAUUU